rnacentral:rRNA from 1 species
AGCGAACGCUGGCGGCGGGCCUAACACAUGCAAGUCGAACGAACUCUUCGGAGUUAGUGGCGGACGGGUGAGUAACACGUGGGAACGUGCCUUUAGGUUCGGAAUAACUCAGGGAAACUUGUGCUAAUACCGAAUGUGCCCUUCGGGGAAAGAUUUAUCGCCUUUAGAGCGGCCCGCGUCUGAUUAGCUAGUUGGUAGUGUAAUGGACUACCAAGGCUACGAUCAGUAGCUGGUCUGAGAGGAUGAUCAGCCACAUUGGGACUGAGACACGGCCCAAACUCCUACGGGAGGCAGCAGUGGGGAAUCUUGCGCAAUGGGCGAAAGCCUGACGCAGCCAUGCCGCGUGAAUGAUGAAGGUCUUAGGAUUGUAAAAUUCUUUCACCGGGGACGAUAAUGACGGUACCCGGAGAAGAAGCCCCGGCUAACUUCGUGCCAGCAGCCGCCGUAACAC